GGUCAGUUGCGCCUCUGCUUCGGAAGAGUAUUUUUAGUGGCAAAUAAAGUGGUGCGCAAAUAAACAAACGCCUGGAACAAAUCCUGCAAAGGAGAGCGCCUGUGUGCGGCCCACUGUCUAACUAGGUCAGCCUCGGGCACAGCUCCUUUUGACAGUUUGCUCCCCAGGGCGGAAGGUGACCCGCAGGUGCCGGCUGCUUUCCCCACCAAUCAGCCAUCUGUGGUUUGAGACUCACAAGCUUAGGAGAGACUCGGGAGGCAUCAGUUCCGCAUCCCGCACUCCCACGUGAAUUUGCCCCCGCCCUGAGUCAGAACCCUAGAGGGGUGAAAUCCCUGAAUUCUGCAGAGGAAACCCAUACUUCUUUGCUUUUUCAGCAAUUCCAGGAGAUGUCGUUUUUCAAGUGGCAAAUGUGUGGCUCUAGAGGACAGAGUAACCACCUUGCAGCCAAGAAGCCCUGAUGUCAACUCCCAGCUCUGCUGCAGCACCCAGAAAUCACCGGACCUUUCUGCAUCUUUCUGGGUGACUCUGUCAUGAGGAUUUCAUAAUGUAAUUCCCUAGCACAUAAGAAUUUCUCAACCAAUAUGGCUUUCUUUUUUCCUUCUCACUAGUCUUUGAGCUUCUUAAAGGGAAGACAUGUCCUAUUCAUCUCUACACCCCCCACACCAGUCUGCAUUCAGUAAGUGCUCAAUCAAUGUCUGCUGAAUCACAUCUUCCCACUCAACUGCAUGGCCUCGGAUGAUCCAAUUCUGUGGGACUCAGGGUCUCCCUGAUUCUGAAGAUCUCCAUUUCAGCCACCCCAUCCUGGUGCUUUUUCUGGAGAGACUGGGAAAAAGGAGACAGAAGAAUCCACUCUAGCUGAGACUCCAGAUUGCCUGGGCUGUAAUUUACGGUGCUAUCACAAAGGGGUCCUUUUUCCGCAUGGUGCUCUGCGGUGAUGAGCCAGAAGCUGAAGCUGAGGGGUCUUAUUGGCUGUGCAAACUUGAGGGAGUUGCCUAACCACUCUGGGCCCUGUUUUCCUGGCUUUGCCACUCUUCAGCUGUGUGACCCGGGGAAGCUCUCAACCUCUUUGUGCCUCCAUUUCCACAUCUGUAAAAUGGGGAUAUGAAAGUGGCUGCUUUGUGAAGAGUCCUGAGAAUAAAUGAGUUAAGGAAAACUGAUAUGGAUAAAUAUGGAAGAGAGCUGGCCAGUGGAUGAAAUGGUGAUGUAAAGGUUAAGAGAAAUAAAAGCAGGAGACGAGGAGAGAGUCACACCACGGUGAGCAGAGAGUUGAGCUGGGGCCCGGGACAAGCAUCAAAAGUGUCACUUCCUCUGAGGUCCCAACCCUACUUCCAUAGGCUCUGCAGCCCACACCACCUUGGAACCAAACAGGGAGGUGGCAGAACUGAUGGGCUGGCCGCACCACCUUAAAUCUCUUAGCUCCAAAACUGGAGGUGCUCAUCAGGACCCUGCAUCAUUUCUGUGGGUGAUGGAUGGUGUGAGGUAAGGCACAGAGAUCUAGACUUAUUUCUCCUUCCACAACAAUUGUUUCUUGGAAGAGGAAGAAAACUUAGCUGGAUUUUAUCUCUUUGUGUGGAUUUCUGGGGUAGACACCCAGAGGUGUGUGCAGGAGCAUGCUCUUUGGGGCCCACAUAGAGAUUCCAGCAGGUGCUGGAGAUUCUGGGGUAGCCUUUCCAUGACUGCUGGCCUCUUUUCCCCUGUGUUGCUUUGGUUUGCUGUCUGGCUAAAGGCAGGAGUGGGAGAAACUCACAUUCCACAAGAGGCUGCCUGGAGCAGAGGCCAAGAGGGUAAGGUUUGUCCAAGGCCUUCCAUCUCAGCUUUGCUGCCAAUUUGUCAGAAAAAAAAUCAUUUGUGCCAAUUAGACCCUGGUUAGGAAAGUGUUGUCCUGUCUGGGAAGCAGGUACAGAAACCAGUUGCAAGGACAGGAGAUCAAUGAAAGUGACACAUUACUUAUGCCUCCAAUUCUUCUCAGCCCUCAAUUUAGUCUCUGAGACACAGAGAAAAUAAGUGUACUUGCCUUGCUAAUGGGUACAUGGUUGGCUUUGGGCAAUUUAUAUAGAGCACUUUAGUUCCAAGAUGAAAUGCACUGAGAUAUUAGGAUUAGUCUCUGCUUUAAUGAGUUUCUGACUUGCAGGUUUGAAAAAAUUUAGUUCUUUUCUGUAUUUCUCUACAAACACAAAACAAUGAUUUAAUGGUAAAACAACAAUGAAAAGAAACUAGGCCAUUCUCUCCAAAAUGAUUAAAAGGGUACUUCUCCUGACCUGACAUAACCUUUCCUCAUAUGAAUUUAUUAUCUGUAUUCACACUCAUAUUCCACUGGAAUGCCUUGGGUCCAGGUGGAUGGUUGCUUAUGGUUAGUAUCGAUUCUGAGCAGGUAGGCAUUCAUACUGUUUGGUUGACGCCUGUGGUGAACAGACCUUAAGGUGACUUCUUGCACCCCUGAGUCAUUUUCUUGUAUAAUCUCCUCUCUUUGAGGACACAAACUGUGCCCUGCUUCAAACCAGUGGAAUAGAGACAAGGUGAUGAGAUCUUUGGUUAUUGCACCUAACUGCUUCAUUCAUUGCACAAUUAGUCACACGCUGUUUUGUGAUGCAGAACAUUUUUUUUUAAGAGAUGGUAGUCUCACUCUGACACCCAGGUUGGAGUGCAGUGACAUGAUCAGAGCUCACUGCAGCCUCAAACUCCUGGGCUCAAGGGAUCCUCCUGCCUCAGCCUCCUGAGUAGCUGGGACUAGAGGUGCGUGCCACCACACCCAGCUAUUUUUUAUUUUUUGUAGAAAUGGAGUCUCACUUUGUGGCCCAAGCUGGUCUCCAACUCCUGGGCUCAAGUGAUCCUCCCACCUUGGCUUAUCAAAUUGCUGGGAUCACAGGUUUGAGCCACCGUGCUUGGACUGUGAUGCAAAAUUUUAUCUAAACCUUGUAUUGUUGACUAUAGCAUCAUGCACUUACUAUUUUCCCUCUUAACUAGAUUUUAAGUCUCUUGAGGGCAAGAACUCUGUUCUUGAAGAUUUUCAGAAGCCCGAUAGCAUAUGGAAGUACUUGACACACAAUAAGUACACAGUCAUAUGUGAUUUGGUUUCUGAGCCUUCAUUUGUCCAACAAAACCAGAUGGGUCUUAGAUGAAGAUAUACGUGGCAAACACUGCAUGCCUACUGUGGGUCAGGUUAGCUCCCAGACAUGCAGAAAACAAAAGCUCUGUCCUCAGGAGUUCAUGAUGGUUCAACCCAAUCAACGAAGUCUUGCAAUCUCACUUCCUCCUUACCUUGUAGAGUUGGAAGAUAUCCAAAUAUUCCUAGAGUUCUUUGUCAAUCUGUCAGGAUUAUAAUUCCACAGAUCAGGCAGAGUGUAACCAUGAAGCUCUUCAGUGAAUUUUUAGUGACUUUUGGGUGAUUUUUUAGUUUCCAAGUAGAAGAAGCAAAAGACCCUUGUGGUGGUUACCUUCCAUCUAAACAGAGAGUGAGCUACAAAGAUACUGCUGUCCCUCAGUGGCCCAUGGGUGUCCCUGCAAAUCUGUGACUCAAGUGGCCAUAUUCAUAUUAAGCAGACCAGAGAUCAAAACCAUAUUAGGCAUGAACCACUUUUUAUUCAUAGGCUUACCGAAUAUAU
rnacentral:lncRNA from 1 species